CUUUUCGGUUUCCCCCUGGGGAAUCACACUGGACCGCUGGGGAUCAGGCGAUGAUUUCAAAGCCUGUCUCCUGCCCAUCCAAUCACAAGCCUUAAGUCCUUUCUUAAAGCCCUGCAGUUUUGCCGUUUACUAGCCCCCUCCCCCUCCGCCAUUUGCCGAGAAGAAAGGAGAAGCAAUUACCUAAGGAGUCGCGAGUUGAGCUAGGUUUUGACCUCUCCAGACAUCAGCUAGUGCAAGAGUCAACGGGCCAACACGUGUGCGGCAGUCAAGGCCCAGGAAUGAACAUUUGAACAUUUGUUUCCCAGUGUGUGCUGGGAUUGUUUCUCAGCCAGGCCUCCCACCCUUCAGGGGACCUGCAAGCUUACAGCAGAGAACCCACGGUGCCUACUGCUGUUGUGAGUGUUGGCACAAGUUAAGAGGAGUUCUGAUCAUCGUUGGUCCAUUCAUCUAACUACUGAAAAGAUGGCUGAGUGGAAUUCCCUUCCUCUGGCUGCUAGCGUCUGCACAACAUUGCUACUCGGGCAAUGGAUGGAGGAGAGGGUGGAUGGGCAUGGCCUGGCCCCUAGGAUCCAAACCCCUCCAGUGAUUUCUUAGUCUGCUUGUGUUGCUAUAAUAAAAUACCACAGGCUGGGAAACUUCAGCAUCAGAAAGUCA